GUACGCUCUGUACAUUGUCAUGGGAGCACACUGUGAUUUCACAGAGGCAAACAUGCAGCAAAUCCGAAGAUGGUGGUGCCUAGUUCUCCUGCAGAACUUUCCCAUGCCCUAGAGGGUCGCAGGUUCGCCUCUCGCCUGCGGCUCUUCUGUGUGGAGUUUGCAUGUUCUCCCCGUGUCUCCCCGCCUCUCGCCCAAUGACAGCUGGGAUCGGCUCAAGCCCCCCGCGACCCGAAUGCGGAAAAUUGGUUAAUGGUAAUGAAUGAAUGUAUGUCAUUCCCUCACCAAGAUCUGAAGAAGAGAGAUCGCAAGCUCGAAAGAGGCGACGUGAAGAAAUGAAACAGGAGGAAGCAGAUGUUCUCCUGAGAGACGCCCUUGAGGGAGCCAAAUGGUGUAACCAGUGGCGGAUUUAGCAAUUUGGGGGCCCAAGGCGAAUUUAGCUAGGGGGCCCUUCAAAUCCUUACUUUUAACAAGGACCUUUUAAUAUGUGAGAAAUAAGACUCAGAUUCCACCCCGUUGUAUGCCAAAAUGCAAAAUAUAUAUAUUUUUUAAAUAGUUAAGCAGCGCGACAGAGUAUUUGUGUGAGUGAGUCAAUAAGUCCCAUUUUGUCUAUAACUGUGACUGUACUGAACAAUAAAGAAUAAUUAUCGAUCACA